rnacentral:rRNA from 1 species
AUUGAACGCUGGCGGCAGGCCUAACACAUGCAAGUCGAGCGAGCGGCGGACGGGUGAGUAAUGUCUGGGAAACUGCCUGAUGGAGGGGGAUAACUACUGGAAACGGUAGCUAAUACCGCAUACCAUCAGCUGUGCCCAGAUGGGAUUAGCUAGUAGGUGGGGUAACGGCUCACCUAGGCGACGAUCCCUAGCUGGUCUGAGAGGAUGACCAGCCACACUGUAACUGAGACACGGGCCAGACUCCUACGGGAUGCAGGAGUGGGGAAUAUUGCCCAAUGGGCGCAAGCCUGAUGCAGCCAUGCCGCGUGUGUGAAGAAGGCCUUCGGGUUGGAAAGCACUUUCAGCGGGGGGGCGUUACCCGCAGAAGAAGCACCGGCUAACUCCGUGCCAGCAGCCGCGGUAAUAC